GGGCGGCCUUGACAGUGACGAGCCUGAUGGUCAGCAUUUUCUUAGCAAUCAAAAUUCAGAUCUCUAUCAAAACACGGAAUCUGAUGUCAGUGUUAUUGAUAUACAGCCUCCUGCUCCUGUCACACUGCAUGUAGAAACUCCAGAAGGCUCAAAGACUUCAAAACGUCUUUCUGAGAGUAAACUGCCUUGUACCAGACGGGUUAAGAGAAGUAGGAAUGAUGUCUUAGUGGACUAUCAGAUAUCAUACUUUAAAGGCAUGGUUGAACGACAGGGAUUAGAGAAAGAGUUAUUGGAAGUGAAGCUCAGGAUCUUGAAAGCGGCUGAAAAUAAGAUGAAUGAGCUUAAUGCAAGAGAACUUCUAAAUCUGAUAAGCGAACAAUAAUAUUCGGUUAAGUUCAUAACAGCGUAUUUAUUAUUUGACAGCUGAGUUUCUAUUUAUUUCAUUUCUGAGUAUUAUGCAAAAUAUUGAUGCACAAUAAAAUUUCGAACAGU